rnacentral:rRNA from 1 species
CCUGGUGACCAUAGCAGGGGGGUAACACCGGUUCCCAUCCCGAACACCAAGGUUAAGCCUUCUGCGCCGAUGGUACUGCAUUAGCGGGAGAGUAGGUCGUUGCCAGGU